UCAAACGUGGGCUAAGUUAGGGAAACAGGUGCUGUUGAAAGGAUUUUUGCUAGAGUUCAAGAAAGAUCCAGGGAAGGUAUUGCUAGCGGUUGUAGAGAAGCCUGAUGGCAAGAAGAAUUGGAUGGUUUUUUUAUCAAGUUUAGUUAGAAAUACAGCAUAUUGGAUAGGUUGCUAGGAUCCGACAUUACUCGAGUUUUCCAGGAUUGAGCUUCUUGAAAAGAACAAAUAUGUAAGAGUGGAAGAGUUGGUCAAGGUUGAAGAACUUCUGCGGAGGAAGCAUGCCAAAGAAGGUACUGAGAAGGAACUUUAAAAGUUUGUUAAGAUACAGAAAUUUGCAAGGGAAAUGCCACCAUAUUCAGAACCCACAAAAUUCUCAUGGAGAUCUGAAGAGAAUAUUCAGCAUAGCCUAUGAAAAAAGUCACCUUCCAGAAUAUCAGCAGUCAAGUUGAAAUCUUGGCAGGAAGUGAAGAAACGUGCUAUAGCAAUGAGCUAGAGCACGAAGAAGGAGAAACUUGCCAAGGAUCCUACAAGCCAAAGAUGCCUAUCAGUGCUUUUCUUCGUUUUUAUGUAUGAACUUCCCUUUCGUAAAAAAGAAACAA